rnacentral:rRNA from 1 species
GACGAACGCUGGCGGCGUGCCUAAUACAUGCAAGUAGAACGCUGAAGCGAGGAGCUUGCUCUUCUUGGAUGAGUUGCGAACGGGUGAGUAACGCGUAGGUAACCUGCCUUGUAGCGGGGGAUAACUAUUGGAAACGAUAGCUAAUACCGCAUAACAAUGGAUGACACAUGUCAUUUAUUUGAAAGGGGCAAUUGCUCCACUACAAGAUGGACCUGCGUUGUAUUAGCUAGUAGGUGAGGUAAUGGCUCACCUAGGCGACGAUACAUAGCCGGCCUGAGAGGGUGAUCGGCCACACUGGGACUGAGACACGGCCCAGACUCCUACGGGAGGCAGCAGUAGGGAAUCUUCGGCAAUGGGGGCAACCCUGACCGAGCAACGCCGCGUGAGUGAAGAAGGUUGUCGGAUCGUAAAGCUCUGUUGUAAGUCAAGAACGGGUGUGAGAGUGGAAAGUUCACACUGUGACGGUAGCUUACCAGAAAGGGACGGCUAACUACGUG